rnacentral:rRNA from 1 species
UACGUAGGGGGCUAGCGUUGUUCGGAAUCACUGGGCGUAAAGCGCACGUAGGCGGAUGUGUCAGUCAGGGGUGAAAUCCCGGAGCUCAACUUCGGAACUGCCUUUGAUACAGCACGUCUUGAGUCCGAUAGAGGUGGGUGGAAUUCCUAGUGUAGAGGUGAAAUUCGUAGAUAUUCGGAAGAACACCAGUGGCGAAGGCGGCUCACUGGACUGGUAUUGACGCUGAGGUGCGAAAGCGUGGGGAGCAAACAGG